AUUGAACGCUGGCGGAAUGCUUUACACAUGCAAGUCGAACGGUAGAGGGGGCAACCCUUGAGAGUGGCGAACGGGUGAGUAAUAUAUCGGAACGUGCCCAGUCGUGGGGGAUAACGUAGCGAAAGUUACGCUAAUACCGCAUACGAUCUAAGGAUGAAAGCGGGGGACCGUAAGGCCUCGCGCGAUUGGAGCGGCCGAUAUCAGAUUAGCUAGUUGGUGAGGUAAAGGCUCACCAAGGCGACGAUCCGUAGCUGGUUUGAGAGGACGACCAGCCACACUGGGACUGAGACACGGCCCAGACUCCUACGGGAGGCAGCAGUGGGGAAUUUUGGACAAUGGGCGCAAGCCUGAUCCAGCCAUGCCGCGUGCGGGAAGAAGGCCUUCGGGUUGUAAACCGCUUUUGUCAGGGAAGAAACGCUCUGGGCUAAUACCCCGGGGUAAUGACGGUACCUGAAGAAUAAGCACCGGCUAACUACGUG
rnacentral:rRNA from 1 species